GAGAAAUAGGGUAGAGAGAGAGAAAAAUGUAGAGAGAGAAAGGGGGAAAAUAUGUAGAAAGGGGGAAAAUAGGUAGAGAGAAAGAGGGAAAAUAGGUAGAGAGAGAGAGGGAAAAUAGGCAGAGAGAGAGAAAUAGGUAGAGAGAGAGAAAUAGGUAGAGAGAGAGAAAUAGGUAGAGAGGGAAAUAGGUAGAGAGAGAGAGGGAAAAUAGGUAGAGAGAGAGGGGGAAAAUAGGUAGAGAGAGAAAGAGGGAAAAUCGGUAGAGAGAGAAAGAGGGAAAAUAGGUAGAGAGAGAGAGGGAAAAUAGGUAGAGAGAGAGAAAUAUGUAGAGCGAGAGAGAGGGAAAAUAGGUAGAGAGAGAGAAAUAUGUAGAGCGAGAAAGAGGGAAAAUAGGUAGAGAGAGAGAAAUAUGUAGAGCGAGAAAGAGGGAAAAUAGGUAGAGAGAGAAAUAUGUAGAGAGAGAGAGAAAAUAUGUAGAGAGAGAAAGAGGGAAAUAGGUAGAGAGAGAGAGGGAAAAUAGGUAGAGAGAGAGAGGGAAAAUAGGUAGAGAGAGAGAAAGGGGGAAAAUAGGUAGAGAGAGAGGGAAAAUAGGUAGAGAGAGAGGGAAAAUAGGUAGAGAGAGAGGGAAAAUAGGUAGAGAGAGAGAGGGAAAAUAGGUAGAGAGAGAGAAAUAUGUAGAGCGAGAAAGAGGGAAAAUAGGUAGAGAGAGAAAUAUGUAGAGAGAGAGAGGGAAAUAGGUAGAGAGAGAGAGGGAAAAUAGGUAGAGAGAGAGAAAUAUGUAGAGCGAGAAAGAGGGAAAAUAGGUAGAGAGAGAAAUAUGUAGAGAGAGAGAGGGAAAAUAUGUAGAGAGAGAAAGAGGGAAAAUAGGUAGAGAGAGAGGGAAAAUAGGUAGAGAGAGAGAGGGAAAAUAGGUAGAGAGAGAGAGGGAAAAUAGGUAGAGAGAGAAAGAGGGAAAAUAGGUAGAGAGAGAGGGAAAAUAGGUAGAGAGAGAGAGGGAAAAUAGGUAGAGAGAGAGAGGGAAAAUAGGUAGAGAGACAGAGGGAAAAUAGGUAGAGAGAGAGGGAAAAUAGGUAGAGAGAGAGAGGGAAAAUAGGUAGAGAGAAAUAUGUAGAGAGAGAAAGAGGGAAAAUAGGUAGAGAGAGAGGGAAAAUAGGUAGAGAGAGAGAAAUAUGUAGAGAGAGAAAGAGGGAAAAUAUGUAGAGAGAGAAAGAGGGAAAAUAUGUAGAGAGAGAAAGAGGGAAAAUAUGUAGAGAGAGAAAGAGGGAAAAUAGGUAGAGAGAGAGAGGGAAAAUAGGUAGAGAGAGAGAGGGAAAAUAGGUAGAGAGAGAAAUAUGUAAAGAGAGAGGGGAAAUAGGUAGAGAGAGAGAGGGAAAAUAGGGGGAGAGAGAGAGGGAAAAUAGGUAGAGAGAGAAAGAGAGAAAAUAGGUAGAGAGAGAAAUAUGUAGAGCGAGAGAGGGAAAAUAGGUAGAGAGAGAAAUAUGUAGAGAGAGAAAGAGGGAAAAUAGGUAGAGAGAGAAAUAUGUAGAGCGAGAGAGGGAAAAUAGGUAGAGAGAGAAAUAUGUAGAGCGAGAAAGAGGGAAAAUAGGUAGAGAGAGAGAAAUAUGUAGAGAGGGAGAGGGAAAAUAGGUAGAGAGGAAUAUGUAGAGAGAGAAAGAAGGGAAAUAGGUAGAGAGAGAAAUAGGUAGAGAGAGAAAUAUGUAGAGAGAGAAAGAGGGAAAAUAGGUAGAGAGGGAAAAUAG